GGUUGAUGGAGGUACCCGGCCGGGGUGCCAGGCGGUCCGUCACAAUCAUACUACGAUAUUAAGUUCACUCUAUGAAACUAUCUUAAAAUAAUGCAAACCACUCUUCUCACACUGCAAGAACGCACCAGCCACUUAUAUUUGCAUUUAAAUGCUGUUGUUUAUUUGGUAAGCUCUAGGUGCGAUGUAAUAAUACUGAGUUUUAUUUCAACAACAGGAGACUUGUCAGUGUGGAAU